rnacentral:rRNA from 1 species
UACGGGGGGAGCAAGCGUUGUUCGGAUUUACUGGGCGUAAAGGGCGCGUAGGCGGUCAGCACAAGUCAGUUGUGAAAUCUCCGGGCUUAACUCGGAAAGGUCAACUGAUACUGUGCGACUAGAGUGCGGAAGGGGCAACUGGAAUUCUUGGUGUAGCGGUGAAAUGCGUAGAUAUCAAGAGGAACACCUGCGGCGAAGGCGGGUUGCUGGGCCGACACUGACGCUGAAGCGCGAAAGCCAGGGGAGCGAACGGG